rnacentral:rRNA from 1 species
UUCCGGUUGAUCCUGCCGGAGGCCACUGCUAUUGGGAUCCGACUAAGCCAUGCGAGUCGAGAGGGUUCGGCCCUCGGCAGACUGCUCAGUAACACGUAGAUAACCUAACCUUAGGUGGAAGAUAACCUCGGGAAACUGAGAAUAAUAUUCCAUAGAUCUAGGAUGCUGGAAUGCAUCUAGAUUGAAAGUUCCGACGCCUAAGGAUGGGUCUGCGGACUAUCAGGUUGUAGUCAGGGUAAAGACCUGACUAGCCUACGACGGAUAUGGGUUGUGAGAGCAAUAGCCCAGAGACGAUAUCUGAGACACGAUAUCGGGCCCUACGGGGCGCAGCAGGCGCGAAAUCUUCACAAUGUGCGAAAGCACGAUGAGGGGAUCCCAAGUGCUGGCACGUAAGUGUCAGCUGUUUCUUAGUCUAAAAAACUGAGAGAGUAAGGGCUGGGUAAGACGGGUGCCAGCCGCCGCGGUAAUACCUGCAGCUCAAGUGGUGGCCGCUAUUAUUGGGCCUAAAACGUCCGUAGCCUGUUUAGUAAAUGCUUGGGUAAAUUGUGUAGCUUAACUAUACGAAUACCGGGUAGACUGCUAAACUUGGGACCGGGAGAGGCUAGAGGUACUCCUGGGGUAGAGGUGAAAUUCUGUAAUCCUAGGGGGACCACCAGUGGCGAAGGCGUCUAGCUAGAACGGGUCUGACGGUGAGGGACGAAGCCCUGGGGCGCAAACCGGAUUAGAUACCCGGGUAGUCCAGGGUGUAAACGCUGCUUGCUUGAUGUUAGUUGGGCUCCGAGCCCAACUAGUGUCGGAGAGAAGUUGUUAAGCAAGCUGCCUGGGAAGUACGGUCGCAAGACUGAAACUUAAAGGAAUUGGCGGGGGAGCACAGCAACGGGUGGAGCGUGCGGUUUAAUUGGAUUCAACGCCGGAAAUCACUAGUGCGGCCGCCUGCAGGUCGACCAUAU